UUCUUUCCCAAAAUCAAAACCUCUUCACCUAAUUGCCACCAGCACCAUUGGCAGCAACCCCUAUGCACCCAACGCCAACACCACCAGCCCCCGAAUUCAAGUUCAAAUCCGAACACGUCGGUUUCCCUUAGCCAUUUUGGAACCUUUGAAUGUUAUUGAAUCUUGGCCCGAAGAAAAGAUUAUCCACUCCAUUUGACGGCUCCUCCCCUUCCCUUGCUCUCAACUUUCGUUGCUACUCUUCUAAUUCCAAUUCGCCUCUUAUUUCUCCAUUAUUCUCUUUUUCUCCAUCAAAGUUCAACACCACAACUUAUAAACUCCAAAAGAAUGGUGGCGGAGGUGGUGGGGAUGGCGUUGAUUGUUUUGAAGAGAAUAAGAGAGUGAGUGGUUACAAUUAAUGAAAAUGAAAGCUAGGUUUGAUUUCAUCCACGUAAUUUAGCAAGAUUACAGUGAUGAGAAGGUCGAAUUUUAAUGACAUUUGUCCAAUAUUCACUUGUGUAUAUAUGUAGCUUCAACAAGUAGCAACCCAGAUACCAAUACCGACAACCUAUCAGCAAUAGUUGACCUCCUGCUUUCAAUUGCAAGCCAUUUUUCUUCCCACAAUUGUUUGUUCGACGGAGCGCAAGGAGCGAUAGCAACAGAAAACGACCGUUCCCUUAAAAAAUGUUUUCCUUGUUGAAGGAAAAUAUGACUUGACCAAAAGUUGAAAAAUAUUUUUCAUGAAAUAAAUUAUCAAUCAAAUACCCAAAAUUAGAAAUCUAAGUAAAAAAUUAACAAUUUUCAUGAAAAAUAAUGUCAAUCAAACACUCUCUUACGAAUCAACUUUGUUUAAACUUGAGCGCCAUUUAUGGAUUGAUACUAUUCCGUUAACAUUGAAUGAUGUAUAAUAUGAUCACUCCAAUUAGCUUAAUUAAAGUAGUUUUAGGGCUAGGCUCUUUAAAUAAAAUGGCAAAUGAAAUGUAAUUCAAUAUUUUAAAUAUCAUUAGAAUUCAGAGGUUCAAUGAUGAGUAAUCAGAGAAAAAUUUGUGAAGAAUGAAUUCAGUAUAAAAGGGUGGUGGGGAGUGGGGGACAUUUACACAAAUAUAUUAAUGCCUCGUUUGGUACAUAUUAAUGUAAAAAUAAGAAUGAAAAUUAUAGUCCUUACGGGCCCCACACUUGAGAUAAAAAGUCAAAUAUGGUAGCUUGAUUUGAUGAAUAACGAUCAUAUUUUUUAUUUUAAUAAACAAAUAAUGAGAAAUAAACGGGGGCUAAAUAAUAAUUAAAACACAUAUUAAUUACGAUUUUAAGGUUCAUAAGGUAGGGGUUAUAGAACCUUCAACCUAUCAGCAACGCUGUCUUUAAGCCCCUGUUUGGCCCUCAUUAAAUUAAAUUACAUUAUAUUCCAUUUUUCUCUAUCAUAUUUUCAACCACACAAUCUUCCAUAAAAUAAUAUUACACGUAAAUCGAAAACUUUUCAUUCUUUUUCAACUAUUCAUUUUUCAAAAAAAUACUAUUCCACCCAUUUUCAUUUUCAGAAAAUGAGGGCCAAACGGGGGCUAAAUCUCCCAUCAAAUCCAAAAUUAAUUCAAUUCAAGCAGGUUCUUCUUCAAUUUGGAAGUUGCAUAUUUCACUUUCAUGUAUAAUAAAAAUUUAUUUUUUCUUUAUGAUUUUUAUUUACCAGAUUUUAAGUUUUCAAAUGCAAUUUUUCCAGAUUUCAUCUCCUAUUCCAAUUUCAUUCUCCUCUCGCAAUUACAAGCCAUCUUUUCAAGUAAAUUAUCAACACAAUUUACUUUGCUAAAAUUUGUUGUAAUUUUAUUACAUAUUUGAGAAUUUUGAGGUUUUAAAUUGUAUUAAUAUAUAGGAAAAAUUACAAUCACGGUACCAAAUUUUUCAUUGAGUAGCAAAUUUUGUCCAAACCUUUCAUUUGUGCUAGUACCGAAGCUUUAAAAAAUUCACACCUUCAGCAAAUUGACCACCAAAAUUAUCAAUUGACUCCCAAAAAAAAUAAAAAUAAAUAAAUAAUAAAAAAUUAAUUAUUUUCCCCAAACAAGAUAGGAGUAUUUUGGACAAACCACAUUUCUCCUAUUAAGUUAAAAAUUAAAAACAAAAAAUAAAAUCACAACCCACCCUCAUCUCCUUCUUUCCCAAAAUCAAAGCCUCCUCACCCAAUUGCCACCAGCACCAUUGGCAGCAACCACUAUGCACCCAACGCCAACACCACCAGCCCCCGAAUUCAAGUUCAAAUCCGAACACCUCGGUUUCGCUUAGCCAUUUUGGAACCUUUGAAUGUUAUUGAAUCUUGGCCAGAAGAAAAGAUUAUCCACUCCAUUUGACGCCUCCUCCCCUUCCCUUGCUCUCAACUUUCGUUGCUACUCUUCUAAUUCCAAUUCACCUCUUAUUUCUCCAUUAUUCUCUUUUUCUCCAUCAAAGUUCGACACCACAACUUAUGAACUCCAAAAGAAUGGUGGCAGAGGUGGUGGGGAUGGUGUUGAUUCUUUUGAAGAGAAUAAGAGAGUGAGUGGUUACAAUUAAUGAAAAUGAAAGCUAGGUUUGAUUUCAUCCACGUAAUUUAGCAAGAUUACAGUGAUGAGAAGGUCGAAUUUUAAUGACAUUUUUCCAAUAUUCACUUGUGUAUAUAUGUAGCUUCAACAAGUUGCAACCCAGAUACCAAUACCGACAACCUAUCAGCAACAGUUGACCUCCUGCUUUCAAUUGCAAGCCAUUUUUCUUCCCACAAUUGUUUGUUCGACGGAGCGCAAGGAGCGAUAGCAACAGUGGUGGUGGAGCCAGAUCGAACAAUGGAAAAGGCGUCAUUAAUUGUUGUUUUCAAUUCUAUAAAAUUCCUUUCAAAAUCUUGUUCACAAAAUGGAAUUCCCAAUUAGUUGAAUUAUGUUGAUAUCUUUCUGGGAAUUCCUCUAUUGAUUUUUAUGAAUUAGUUGUGGGUCGGUUUGUGGUAGAAAAGACUUGGGGUCUGUGACGAUGGUUGUGUUAGUGGGGUCCCUAUUUCUUUUUUCUCUACAGCAACGACUUGGGAUGGCUAUCAGUGGUGGCGAUUGGGUGUAGUUGUUUUGGUUUUGGGGUUAGGGGUCGGGGAAGAAGGAGAUGGAGAUGGGUUGUGGUUUUAUUUUAUUUUUUAAAAUUUUUGGUUUCAUAGGAAAAAUGUAUUUUAUCUAAAACGUCACUGCUUUAUUUUAGGAAAAUACAUAAGUUUUUUAUUUUGGGAGUUUAACUGACCAUUUUCGUAGUCAAAUUGGCG
rnacentral:lncRNA from 1 species